rnacentral:rRNA from 1 species
GAUGAACGCUAGCGGGAGGCUUAACACAUGCAAGUCGAGGGGCAGCAUAGGGUAGCAAUACUCUGAUGGCGACCGGCAAACGGGUGAGUAACGCGUAUGCAACCUACCCUGUACAGGGGGAUAACCCGGAGAAAUUCGGACUAAUAUCCCGUAAUAAUAUCCGGAGGCAUCUUUGGAUAUUUAAAGUUCCGACGGUACGGGAUGGGCAUGCGUAACAUUAACUGGUUGGUAAGGUAACGGCUUACCAAGGCUAUGAUGUUUAGGGGUCCUGAGAGGGUGGUCCCCCACACUGGUACUGAGACACGGACCAGACUCCUACGGGAGGCAGCAGUGAGGAAUAUUGGUCAAUGGGCGCAAGCCUGAACCAGCCAUCCCGCGUGCAGGAAGACGGCCCUAUGGGUUGUAAACUGCUUUUCCAGGGAGAGAAACUUACGCACGUGUUGCGUGACUGACGGUACCCUGGGAAUAAGCAUCGGCUAACUCCGUGCCAGCAGCCGCCGGUAAUAGUGUGUGUAC